AACGAACGCUGGCGGCAUGCCUAACACAUGCAAGUCGAACGAGACCUUCGGGUCUAGUGGCGCACGGGUGCGUAACGCUUGGGAACCUGCCCUUAGGUUCGGAAUAACUCCCCGUAAGGGGUGCUAAUACCGGAUAAUGUCUUCGGACCAAAGAUUUAUCGCCUUUGGAUGGGCCCGCGUUGGAUUAGCUAGUUGGUAGGGUAAAAGCCUACCAAGGCGACGAUCCAUAGCUGGUCUGAGAGGAUGAUCAGCCACACUGGGACUGAGACACGGCCCAGACUCCUACGGGAGGCAGCAGUGGGGAAUAUUGGACAAUGGGCGAAAGCCUGAUCCAGCAAUGCCGCGUGAGUGAUGAAGGCCUUAGGGUUGUAAAGCUCUUUUACCCGGGAUGAUAAUGACAGUACCGGGAGAAUAAGCUCCGGCUAACUCCGUG
rnacentral:rRNA from 1 species